rnacentral:rRNA from 1 species
UACGUAGGGUGCGAGCGUUGUCCGGAAUCAUUGGGCGUAAAGAGCUCGUAGGCGGUUUGUCGCGUCGGAUGUGAAAUUUUAGGGCUCAACCCUGACAUUGCAUCCGAUACGGGCAGGCUAGAGUUCGGUAGGGGAGACUGGAAUUCCUGGUGUAGCGGUGAAAUGCGCAGAUAUCAGGAGGAACACCGGUGGCGAAGGCGGAUCUCUGGGAAACAACUGACGCUGAGGAACGAAAGCGUGGGUAGCAAACAGG